GCGGUGGUAGCGUAGUGGUUAAGGAGCUGGGCUAGUGCCUGAAAGUUGCGGGUUCAAUUCCCGUCUUCCACU
rnacentral:tRNA from 1 species